GCAUUCUUAGCUCAGUUGGAUAGAGCAACAACCUUCUAAGUUGACGGCCGUGGGUUCAAUUCCUGCAGAAUGCG
rnacentral:tRNA from 1 species